UACGUAGGGUGCGAGCGUUAAUCGGAAUUACUGGGCGUAAAGCGUGCGCAGGCGGUUCGUUGUGUCGGCGGUGAAAGCCCCCGGGCUUAAACCUGGGGAAUGGCCGUUGAAACUGGCGAACUGGAGUGUGGCAGAGGGGGGUGGAAUUCCACGUGGUAGCAGUGAAAUGCGUGGAGAUGUGGAGGAAUACCGAUGGCGAAGGCAGCCCCCUGGGCCAACUGACC
rnacentral:rRNA from 1 species